rfam:Daucus carota subsp. sativus cultivar DH1 chromosome 7, whole genome shotgun sequence.
ACCAAUUCUAGGGAAUGAAUUUUGUUUCCUUAGGUAUAAUGGCUUGGACGCGAGAGUUAAGAGUGGUCAUCCUGAUGAAUGUACGAUAUCGAUGUCAUUUUAUCCUGGAAAUGCCACCUAUAUCA